rnacentral:rRNA from 1 species
UACGGAGGGUGCUAGCGUUGUUCGGAAUCACUGGGCGUAAAGCGCGUGUAGGCGGCCCACUAAGUCUGAUGUGAAAGCCCGGGGCUCACCCCCCGGAAGUGCAUUGGAAACUGGUGGACUCGAGUCCCGGAGAGGAGAGUGGAAUUCCGUGGUGUAGCGGUGAAAUGCGUAGAUAUCAGGAGGAACACCGGUGGCGAAGGCGGCUCGUCUGGAAGCGGUGACUGACGGCUGAGACGGCGAAAAGCGUGGGGGAGCGAACA